rnacentral:rRNA from 1 species
UACGUAGGUGGCGAGCGUUGUCCGGAUUUACUGGGUGUAAAGGGCGUGUAGGCGGGAGUGUAAGUCAGAUGUGAAAUUCCACGGCUCAACUGUGGCGCUGCAUCUGAAACUAUACUUCUUGAGUGCUGGAGAGGGAAGCGGAAUUCCUAGUGUAGCGGUGAAAUGCGUAGAUAUUAGGAGGAACACCAGUGGCGAAGGCGGCUUUCUGGACAGUAACUGACGCUGAGGAGCGAAAGCGUGGGGAGCAAACAGG